rnacentral:rRNA from 1 species
CCUACGGGUGGCAGCAGUGAGGAAUAUUGGUCAAUGGACGAGAGUCUGAACCAGCCAAGUAGCGUGAAGGAUGACUGCCCUAUGGGUUGUAAACUUCUUUUAUAUGGGAAUAAAGUGUUCCACGUGUGGGAUUUUGUAUGUACCAUAUGAAUAAGGAUCGGCUAACUCCGGGCCAGCAGCCGCGGUAAUACGGAGGAUCCGAGCGUUAUCCGGAUUUAUUGGGGUUAAAGGGAGCGUAGGUGGAUUGUUAAGGCAGUUGUGAAAGUUUGCGGCUCAACCGUAACAUUGCAGUUGAAACUGGCAGUCUUGAGUACAGUAGAGGUGGGCGGAAUGCGUGGUGUAGCGGUGAAAUGCUUAGAUAUCACGAAGAACUCCGAUUGCGAAGGCAGUUCACUGGACUGCAACUGACACUGAGGCUCGAAAGUGUGGGUAUCAAACAGGAUUAGAUACCCUGGUAGUC